rnacentral:rRNA from 1 species
AUUGAACGCUGGCGGCAGGCUUAACACAUGCAAGUCGAGCGGGGUGAUGGUGCUUGCACUAUCACUUAGCGGCGGACGGGUGAGUAAUGCUUAGGAAUCUGCCUAUUAGUGGGGGACAACAUCUCGAAAGGGAUGCUAAUACCGCAUACGUCCUACGGGAGAAAGCAGGGGAUCACUUGUGACCUUGCGCUAAUAGAUGAGCCUAAGUCGGAUUAGCUAGUUGGUGGGGUAAAGGCCUACCAAGGCGACGAUCUGUAGCGGGUCUGAGAGGAUGAUCCGCCACACUGGGACUGAGACACGGCCCAGACUCCUACGGGAGGCAGCAGUGGGGAAUAUUGGACAAUGGGGGGAACCCUGAUCCAGCCAUGCCGCGUGUGUGAAGAAGGCCUUAUGGUUGUAAAGCACUUUAAGCGAGGAGGAGGCUCUUUUGGUUAAUACCCAAGAUGAGUGGACGUUACUCGCAGAAUAAGCACCGGCUAACUCUGUGCCAGCCGCCGCCGCGG